GUGGACGAGUGUAACGAAACCCUCCAUGACUGCGAACAAAGAUGUCUGAACACCUACGGCGGGUAUUCAUGUGGAUGUGACGACGGCUUCUCUCUCAACGAUGAUGAGAAAUCAUGUGCAGACUUUGACGAGUGUGCGGAAUCCCUGCAUGACUGUGACCAGACGUGUGUCAACAUUGUUGGUGGCUUCACAUGCGGGUGUGACAGCGGGUUUCGUCUGAACGGAGAUGGGAAGACAUGUUCAGACGUAGACGAGUGUGCGGAGGCCCUGCAUGACUGUGACCAGACGUGUGUCAACAUUGUUGGUGGCUUCACAUGCGGGUGUGACAGCGGCUUUCGUCUGAACGGAGAUGGGAAGACCUGUUCAGAUGUGGACGAGUGUAACGAAACCCUUCAUGACUGUGACCAAAGAUGUCUGAACACCUACGGCGGAUAUUCGUGUGGAUGUGACGACGGCUUCUCUCUCAACGACGACGGGAAAUCAUGUGCAGGUAUCAA